AUGUUGUCUACCAUCACAGAUGGCGGUGAAAUAAAUUAAAAAGGGAAUUAUCUGAUUCUGUACGGUUCUACCGGUUGAUAAGGUUAAAAACUACGUUGUCAAUGGGGUAUUCGUUUAUGGAGUGUUUUAGUGUGAAAAAUCCACGGCUGAACAGAGGAAGAAUCUGAAUGAAAGAAUCGAGUGUCGACACCCCCUGCAUCUUCUGUAUGAGCACUUCAAGCCUGCCCUGAGUUGCACAGACCUGAAGAAAACCAUGAAAAGCUCGCUGAUUUUAUGAAUGAUGCAACAAAAAAAGUGAAGACGUAAUUUAAGUAAUGGAGAAGUAUACAUGCUGAAGUCUGGUUGUGUCAAUUUGAAUAUUAUUGUGAUGUUCUGGUAGUCAGCUGUUUGUGUGGUUUACAGUUUAUGUGUGAAAUCAGAGAGCAUGUGAGACACGAGACUGUCAAAGAAAGGACAUUUGGAAUGUUAGAGACGAAUGCCUCGAUCGAUUGUAAUGCAGCCAGUGUUCGUGCAGCACUUAUGAACUACUUUGUAUGGUUAAAUUGAACUUUGCCUACUGUGAACUGUGAUUUUUUUUCCAAGUCCAUCUGUGUGCUACACUGCUUUGUGUGAUCAAACUGCAAUACAAGUUUCAACAUGCCAGCAUUUAUUAUUGGUAAACUUUCUAAAGAUAUAUGUAAAUGUAAUGUUAAAAAAUGUAUGAAAUUAAUUGUAUUUUUAAAAUGACUGAUGUAAAUAUAUAUUGAUGAUUUUAAUUUC
rnacentral:sRNA from 1 species